GUUUCUUUUGCAAAUAAUGAUUGAAAUGUUUCUCAUUGUACUCAACCUCUUAAACUACCUAUAGGCUUUGCUUGAGAGUAAUCAGGCUACAAAGGAUGCCAAUGAAAUUCCUUCUGCCUCAAAUGGAGACAAUGACGAGUGGUCAUAAGUACAGAGAUUGCA